UUCUAUUUUUUAAAUGAUAUCCUGCCAGCUUUUUCACAAUCCAUUAAUUCCUGGAUCAACAUCAGAAGGAAUGUCAGAGCAGAGUGAAAUUCUUGUAAGACACAGAUGUCAGGAUCAAAAGUCAGAGACAUUCUCAGAGCAGCAGGGAAGCCAGCUUGUUAGACUUUAAUCGGAACAAUUAGUAUCUGCCAUGUGACAGUCUCCAUGCCCUGCCUUGGAUUUCUCUUAAGUUCCAGGCAUGCUGAAAAGAUAAGAGUCUUCCAACUUUGAUGGAAAAUUUCGAAAGCUUGGCCCUCAUUACUGUGGGCCGUGACUCUUUGGUUUUGUUGAUCCUGGCUCAGUGUCCUUAGAUGGUAAACUGUCUGCGCACUUAGAGAACUGGGGCCCGACUGCUGAUGGACCUCGUUUUCGUCUUCCCCGAGGGGAGGUAAUACAAACAGGAGACAGAUGCCCCAACAACAAAGGCUGAAUUCACCACUGCAUAUGGUGGGCACUUGGUCCAUAUUGGGUGAAUGAAUGAACUGAUGGACUGGCAUUACAGUGAACGUGUCAUUCUCCCUCUCUGGAAACAGCAGUGGAAAUGCAAACAUGGCCACAUGGAGAUAACAGGUGUAGCAGAUCUCGAAGAAAAGAACUUUCCGGGAAAUCAGAGUAAAAAGCAAGGAUUUCAACCAUUCAGCAGUCCCACUCACACCUGCUCGGCUGUCUCCCCCAGGGCAGUGGGCCUGCCUGGGCUGCAGAGUGGACGGUCCCUGCUGGUCGCUAGUGUGGCACCCUCCUGCUGCAACUCUUUGGUGCUUUCCUCUUCCCAGUGAGUGCUAUGUGAUGUGAUGCUGGGAAUUUCCUCCCACUUCUCUUCAGCUUCCAGGAUGUGUACACUCAGAAUGGAUGGCUUUCACCGCACUGUUAUGCAAUAAAUCUGCCAGGCUGAAUUUCCUUCAGUGAGUCAAAAGAUGAGCCAGAAGCGGGUGGAAUUUAAAUAUAGAUCAGGCGUCCCUCAUGUGAUCUGGCCUUGCGGCUUUGAAGACUGACAAACCAAGCCCAUGAAUUGGUUGCUAGUGGACCUCUGCCGAGUCUUUGCUCAUGCACCCACUGUGGGCAAUGAUUCCUUUGAUACCCAAGUUUGCUUCUGUUUUACCUUUGUAGGGAGCAUGAGCUGGUUAGGCACUGAAACCACAGGAGACCCAGGGCCUGGCUUCUGGGUGUUCUCCUAGUUCUUCUGUCAACUGCUACUCACACAUGUUCCCUCCUUGACUUGGUUCUUGCCUUGCACAAUUCCCACAGAUGCACAUAAUCCUCACGUGACAUGUGCUGUGCCCGCACAGUCCAUGUGUGUGAAUAUGUACAUCUGUGUGUGUGCGCUUAUUUUUUUCAAUGUGUUUGUUUUUCAGGUAUUUGAAGAUGGUAAAGGGCCUGGGGAGACCUCUGUUUAGAACAGUAAAAAAGAUUUUGGAUCUAGUAGCUCAGCUCGAUAUGACAGAAUGGCGGAAAGUGUGAGCCUACAGUUUGUUAAUGACCCCAAAUGUUUCCUAGGUUACGUGGAGCUCAUUUAAGUGAUGACAUCCUAAAAUUCUUUACCAAAGAUCAGUCAUUUGCUGGUCUGUAAGCCAAGGCUCGGUGGAUUAUCCCCCCUAGACCCACAUAGCCACAUCCGACACUCCAUGUACUUACAUGGGCCCGGGCUUGGAUGCAUCAGGAUUGUGCUCUUUUUGCUGUCUAGCAAGAAAUGACAUGGUCUUCUAUGGAGGGGACACUGGUGGUCUCAAGGGCUUCUGAGCCCAAGACCCUGUUCAGGGACACAGCUGUGGUCUUUGCCAUGCCCAUCUUGAGCAAGGCCAGCUGGUGGACCUCAGGCAUGCUUAUCUUUGCCUUUUUCCAGACAAUUGGGGUGCUUCUCAGGCAGAACCAGUGUGUCCAGGAACUUUAUCUGGGGCCUUUGUCUUGCAUGGAAGGACUCUGAAUGCCAUGUCCUUUACCAGUUCGGGUUAUGUGCCUGAGUGCACAUCCAUCCAUAUUUUGGGCUCUGCCUUCCUACCUUUGCCCCAAGCUUUCUCCCUUUUGCCCCUUCUCUUCAGCAUAUCAGUCUCUCUGGUAGUAUCCAUUACCUAGGCUUUGUAGCCAAUCAUAGUCUUGUAUGUAAAUUGGGAGCCUCUCAUUGGACCAUUGGAGACCAGGAAAUGCCACUGUGCUGAUUUAAAGACCCACCCAGGGACUUCUGGUUUCUUACACAAAUCCCUAUGACACAAAAGCCCUCCUAGAAUUUUCUACCUAUCUCUAUCUCCACAUUCUCACAUGAGUGUAUUUUACUUCAUGCUGAAAUUGAAGAUGGUGCUUAUGUUAUUACAUGCAAAGAUGUUAUUAUAGAGAAUGUUUUGUCUUGACCUAGGACACACUGCUGUGAUGCUCUGCUUCUGUGGGAAAGCUGGGGGUUUGGAGCUUUGAUUAGUUCCUUGGUGGGGACCCUUGCUCCACCCAUGCCCCACUGCUCCCUGUGGGGACACUCAUCUUGCAUAUUAGCCGGAGGUGCUUCGCACUCUUCUCAGAUCUGAGCAAAUCCUUACCGUGUCAAGGCUUGGUGAUGAUAGCCUUGAAGAUAGAUGGGGGAAUAUUAUCACAAUUUUUGGUUUCCACAGCCUGGCCCUCACCUAUGACCUAAAGAUGAGUGGCACUGAGCCCCGUACCUCCUCUCGAGUGCUCAUUUUCUGGCCCCUAAAGUGCAGUCUGUCACAAAUUGAGCAAAUAAAGAUUGUGCCACAGCUCCUGGGCAGGGAAUUUGGUUGAGUGGUGGAGCUCGUGGCCACGUUUCCUGGCACCCAGGCCCUGAGAACUCCCAUUUCUUCUCUGGAUUUCUUUCCUUAGAUCUUCAGUUUUUUCUUGCACAAAAAAGGUGAUGGCCAUAAAGCAAAAUCCCUGUGAUUUAAAAAAUGAUGAGCAUUACACAUUUUCUCAAAUAGUAGUGAAACAACACAGCAAAGCUUCCAUUGAGACCAUGCAGAAAUAAAUGCAGGGCUUUGGAAAUACAGUCUUAGGUUGCAAAACAUGCUUGUGCCUGCAGUGAUAAAAACAAAACAAAACAAAACAAAAACAGAUUUUUACUAAUGCUCUUGCUGCUAGCCACCUCCAGAGGAUGGUUGUCAUUUUUAAUUCAAAGGAUUUGGCUUGGCUGGAGGAUAAGUAUUCACCUGCGUGAAAUUUAAAAAACUUUGUCAUUGCCAGCCUCUCUGAUGCUCAGUGCUGAAAGUCUGGUUAAAUAGAGCAUCAAAAAGUCAGAGUUGGGGACAUCGUGGUUUGUCUUUAAUUUGGACAAAGCCUCAUAUUCUUAGACACUCUGUAGUUGCUGAUCCAAGACAUUAUUUACAUAGCAGAAGCUUACAGCCCUCAAUGAGGCACCUGACAGGGACAGGAGGACUGAAACGUCCCCUUUUUGCCUCUGAUCCUCAGAAUUUAGCACUUCUUAAUAUAUCUUCCCUAGAAAUUUGUAGAAGGAGAAAAAAAGAAAAGACAGCAUCACAGUGAGGCGAGAAAAGACCAAAGCACACCUGCAUCCCUAGAAGGUCUGUGGAGUCCCCAGAAGCUGAGAGACAUAAGAAGUGACAGGAAGUACAGGGAGAAAGCUUGUGACAGGGUCUCAGGGAACUGAGUGGGAAGGGGCCAGACCAGACACGGAGACAAAGGUGAGACCGAAGGAUGAAAAGAUGCCUCAGAGAUACCACUGACUGCACGCUGCAUUUAGAUUUGCUUUAACUGUGGAAUGUGGCUCAAAUGAAGAUUAUCUGGAUAACUCAGAGUAGCUAAACGUAAGGUAGAUGCAGACAUAAUCAGUGCUAUGAUUUAAAAUGUUAAACAGCAGCGCUCUGCGUUGCUCUCAUCUGGGUGUCUCAGUUACACCUUGGAAACACCAUCUCUUCAUGUGAACACAAGCUUGCAAGCACAUGGCUGCUUGUACACACACAGCUGCUUAUAGACACACGGCUGCUUGCAUGCACACGGGUGCUUGUAUACACAUGGCUGCUUGCAUGCGCGUGGCUGCUUGCACACACACAACUGCUAGCCCUAGUCUUCGGGUGCUUCUGGGAAGGUUUCCUCUGUGUGGGCCAAUGUGUGUUGAAAGUCACGUUUACUUUGCAGCCAUGCAAAUGAUGAAUUGCAUUGUCUUACCAUUGGUCACCUGCCGUUGGUGGGGACAGGGUGGUGCACAGUCACGCUGCUUAAAUCUGGUCAGGAAAGGCCCUAACAAAGUGUGUCGCUCAGAUGGACAAGCAGAGCUCUUCUCAGGGAAGACUGCUGCCGGGCUAGACGCUAAGUGCUCUUUCUGAGUCUGUCACACAUCUGCCUUCAGUCCCUGUGCCAAGGGGUCAGAGCUCAAUCACAAGCCUGUGGCACCCCCUGCUGGUUAAAAGCCCGUGCUUGUUUUGUUACUUUACAGAGCUAAACGUUGCUGUCAUUUCACACUUCUUUUAACAUUAUUCGUGAAUUUAAUUAUCAUUUGUUUGGGCUGCAUUUGUUAUAGAUCAGAGACAGUUUACUACUGACACUCUCGGUUUAGACUCUUUGUCUUCCUCCCACCCCCUGACCCAACUCCACCAGUGACUCCUUGGGAUCCACCCGAGGCUGCGGCUCUUCCGUCGGGCCCCCCGGGCCUGCUUCUGCCUCAGCUGGCUUUCCCACAGGGACAGCAAGACAGUAAGAAUCUGCUUUCACUAAAGAACAGCAAAAUAUUCGGGUCUCUCAUGGUAAAAUGUGCAGGUGGGAUCAAAGCAGUUCUCCGGUUGGUCCUGUCUUUCCGGGGCGAGCAAAUUUAGCAGAAGGCCUGGAGGAGCCAAGCAGCACCUCUUGGGGCAUUUAAAGAUUUUCUGAAUUCCAAUAAAAUUUCAGGGCAUUUUUCCGAGACAGUAUUGUUUGUGGACUGUGAUCCCAUGUGCAUGCUCUCUCCCUCUCCCCGACUUCCUGUCUUAAUGCCUUGUCAUAGUUCUUGAAGUCUGCCUGUCAGCACAGCAAGAGGGAUUUGUUCAUGUCUGAGUAGGCACCUUAAUGAUAGCAGAUGGAAACGCCGCGGGGGGCCGGCCCAUCACACUGUCAUUGUCGCUGGCUGCCCUGACCCGCUCCCACUCCGCUAUUUUUUUGUCCCUUUUUAAAGGAGAAAUGGAUGGUAAUUGAAAAGGAUCUUAAGCAAGAUUUAUGAAGCCCCAGACAACACGAUUCCCCACUCUCUCUCUGUUUGCACAAAUAAAGUCUUAACCUCGUAAGCACUGGUGACAGAACAGAGAAAGACAAAUUGGUAAAGCACAGAAGCCCCAUCCUGCCAAAGUUUUGGUCCUCAGAUGCGCCUCACGUUAUCCCACAAUAAUUACUAGUUAUUGCUGAGCUUUGCGUACAUUUUUGUAGAUUGGUAAAUUCCUGCAUAGAAUUAUUUGCCUUUCCAAAGAAAGGCAAAAGCUGCUGUCCGCAGCUCUGAUGAGCAGGGCUGUUGUGCGAGUAUCUUGGAAAUGUAUGCAUAUUUUGACAGGGCAUUUCCUGAGGAGCUCUGAGGCUGCCUGUCAGGAAGCUCCAACACACUUUCCUGCCUCUCUCACUUUUAAAAAUUAUUUUAGCUCACUAUUUAACUGCAGCAUAGUAUAAGGGCAAACAAUUCUACAUAUAAGGUGUGUGAUUGGUUCUAUGUUAAUUAUAAUGAGAUAGUAUAGAUAGAUCUGAAUCUUAGCAAACCUAGAGGCUGACUGGGUUUUCCAUAUAUCCAGAUCUUCAAAAUUUCAAAGACUGAAACAAAAAUAGCCUCAGAAACUCACAAAGGUAUUGGAAAAGGUUAGUAGGAUAAAUUAUGGUAGCAGGUUAUAGAAUUUUCUUUCAUCUACCAGAGUUGAAUAAAAUUAAAUUGUUUAUAGUGAUUUCUUAUGCUGUGUAAUUUAUAUAAUGAAAAAAUCCAUAAGGAAAGAUAAUUUUUUUCCCUGACAAUCAAUUUUCAAAAUCUAAUUUAAUUAUCUUGUGAGUGGGAUUGCUUUUAUGAUGAUAAAAAUAAUAACGAACUUUAAAGUGGCAAAAAUUCUUGACUUAGCAAGUUCUUCCAACUGCAAGAGUAAAACUUUAAUAAAUGUAUGGCAAUAUUAUUUUUUUCAUAGUAUCAUUGUUAAAGUGAAUGUAAUGAUUGGCUAAUUUUGAUGUUUGUUAUAAUAUUUUAAAAAGAUUACACUUUUUCUUGGCUAACGAUUGUAUAUAUGGAGUGACGAAUGUACGGUCAAUAUGCUGGAAUAUUCCAAAAUCAGCUGAGGAUUGUAUCUGAAAAAAUUUAUAAGUGCAUGUGUUUAUUUGUAUGGCAUUUUUUUCUUUUAGUGUACUUUUUAGUUUUGAAAAUAAAGUCCUAGUCUUACAAGCACCAUUAUCACAUUUUGCCACCAUGAAACUUUAAAAAUUUGUAUGUCUAACAGUUAUUGCCAUUUAGUAUAAAAUGUAUCAAAAAUGUGCAAUCUAUAUUAAGUAAAUACUGCUUGUUUUUAGAAAGUAA